GCCGAGAUAGCUCAGCUGGUAGAGCACUUCAGUGGUAAUGAAGAGGUCCGGGGUUCGAAUCCCCGUCUCGGCUCCA
rnacentral:tRNA from 1 species